GACGAACGCUGGCGGCGCGCUUAACACAUGCAAGUCGAACGGAAAGGCCUGCUUUCCCUUGUGGAUUGCGGGUACUCGAGUGGCGAACGGGUGGGUAACACGUGAGUGAUCUGCCCCCAACUUGGGUAUAAGCCUGGGAAACUGGGUCUAAUUCCCGAUAGGACUGCAGGGUGGUGCCUGUGGUGGAAAACGAUUUUCUAGUGGUUGGGGAUGAGCUCGCGGCCUAUCAGCUUGUUGGUGGGGUAAUGGCCUACCAAGGCGGCGACGGGUAGCCGGCCUGAGAGGGUGGACGGCCACAUUGGGACUGAGAUACGGCCCAGACUCCUACGGGAGGCAGCAGUGGGGAAUAUUGCACAAUGGGCGGAAGCCUGAUGCAGCGACGCCGCGUGGGGGAUGACGGCCUUCGGGUUGUAAACUCCUUUCGACCGCGAGGAAGCCACCUGGUUGGAAGGGUGGUGACGGUAGUGGUAGAAGAAGCACCGGCUAACUACGUG
rnacentral:rRNA from 1 species